UACGUAGGGCGCAAGCGUUGUCCGGAAUUAUUGGGCGUAAAGAGCUCGUAGGCGGUUUGUCGCGUCUGCUGUGAAAACCUAAGGCUCAACCUUGGGCUUGCAGUGGGUACGGGCAGACUAGAGUGCGGUAGGGGUGACUGGAAUCCCUGGUGUAGCGGUGAAAUGCGCAGAUAUCAGGAGGAACACCGGUGGCGAAGGCGGGGUCUCUGGGCAAUAACUGACGCUGGAGGAGCGAAAAGCGUGGGGGAGCGAACAGG
rnacentral:rRNA from 1 species